GCGGGUUUAGCUUAGCUGGGAGAGCGUCAGACUGAAGUAAAUAAACUUCAUUCCAUCAAUAACCUUGAUAUCUGAAGGUCAUGUGUUCGAUCCACAUAAACCGCA